UCUCUGGUAGUCCAAUGGCUAAGACUCUGCACUCCCAAUGCAGGGGGCCCAGGUUCAAUACCUGGUCAGGAAA
rnacentral:tRNA from 1 species